AUACGUAGGGGGCAAGCGUUAUCCGGAAUCACUGGGUGUAAAGGGUGCGUAGGCGGCAAGGCAAGUCAGAUGUGAAAGCCCGGAGCUCAACUCCGGGACUGCAUUUGAAACUGCUUUGCUAGAGUGCAGGAGAGGAAAGCGGUAUUCCUAGUGUAGCGGUGAAAUGCGUAGAUAUUAGGAGGAACACCAGUGGCGAAGGCGGCUUUCUGGACUGUAACUGACGCUGAGGCACGAAAGCGUGGGGAGCGAACAGGAUUAGAUACCCUGGUAGUCCACGCUGUAAACGAUGAGUGCUAGGUGUCGGGGGUCGAACCUCGGUGCCGAAGUUAACACAUUAAGCACUCCACCUGGGGAGUACGAUCGCAAGAUUGAA
rnacentral:rRNA from 1 species